rnacentral:lncRNA from 1 species
GUGGAGAUGCUUGAAACAUUUGGGAAGCAGUAGGAGAAAGAUUUUCUCUUUUCUCCUUCAUCUCAUUUAUUCUUCUUUCCAUUUCACUGCAUUGAUCUCUUAUUUUAGAAACAGGGCUAUACACAAGUGAACCAUCAUCUUCAAACAGUAAAACUGGUAUAUCAGUUUCUGCAUUAAUUCCUAUCCUUUGCUGAGCUAAUUCCUUAGCCAUUCGGUCCAGUCUUCUCUGCAGCUUUCUAUCAUUUUCUGGAGUUUUCUCAACAAAGUCCUUUGGCUGCAUACAUUUGUGUUUUAGUGGUAACCCAUCAUUAUUGUAUACUGCAGGAAAUAAAGAUUCAUCAACGCGUACUCCAGUUUCUCGACAUUUCUCCACCCAGAGUACAGAAACAGUCUUUACACCAGCAUCCUGUGC